rnacentral:rRNA from 1 species
AUUGAACGCUGGCGGCAGGCCUAACACAUGCAAGUCGAACGGCAGCACAGAAGAGCUUGCUCUUUGGGUGGCGAGUGGCGGACGGGUGACUAAUGUCUGGGAAACUGCCCGCUGGAGGGGGAUAACUACUGGAAACGGUAGCUACUACCGCAUAACGUCGCAAGACCAAAGUGGGGGACCUUCGGGCCUCACACCAUCGGAUGGGCCCAGAUGGGAUUAGCUAGUAGGUGGGGUAAUGGCUCACCUAGGCGACGAUCCCUAGCUGGUCUGAGAGGAUGACCAGCCACACUGGAACUGAGACACGGUCCAGACUCCUACGGGAGGCAGCAGUGGGGAAUAUUGCACAAUGGGCGCAAGCCUGAUGCAGCCAUGCCGCGUGUAUGAAGAAGGCCUUCGGGUUGUAAAGUACUUUCAGCGGGGAGGAAGGCGGUGAGGUUAAUAACCUCGCCGAUUGACGUUACCCGCAGAAGAAGCACCGGCUAACUCCGUGCCAGCCGCCGCCGUAA